UACGGAGGGUGCAAGCGUUAUCCGGAUUCACUGGGUUUAAAGGGUGCGUAGGCGGGCAGGUAAGUCCGUGGUGAAAUCUCUGAGCUUAACUCAGAAACUGCCAUGGAUACUAUUUGUCUUGAAUGUUGUGGAGGUGAGCGGAAUAUGUCAUGUAGCGGUGAAAUGCUUAGAUAUGACAUAGAACACCAAUUGCGAAGGCAGCUCACUACACAAAUAUUGACGCUGAGGCACGAAAGCGUGGGGAU
rnacentral:rRNA from 1 species